rnacentral:rRNA from 1 species
UUUAUGGAGAGUUUGAUCCUGGCUCAGGAUGAACGCUGGCGGCGUGCCUAAUACAUGCAAGUCGAGCGAACGGACGAGAAGCUUGCUUCUCUGAUGUUAGCGGCGGACGGGUGAGUAACACGUGGAUAACCUACCUAUAAGACUGGGAUAACUUCGGGAAACCGGAGCUAAUACCGGAUGAUAUUUUGAACCGCAUGGUUCAAAAGUGAAAGACGGUCUUGCUGUCACUUAUAGAUGGAUCCGCGCUGCAUUAGCUAGUUGGUAAGGUAACGGCUUACCAAGGCAACGAUGCAUAGCCGACCUGAGAGGGUGAUCGGCCACACUGGAACUGAGACACGGUCCAGACUCCUACGGGAGGCAGCAGUAGGGAAUCUUCCGCAAUGGGCGAAAGCCUGACGGAGCAACGCCGCGUGAGUGAUGAAGGUCUUCGGAUCGUAAAACUCUGUUAUUAGGGAAGAACAUAUGUGUAAGUAACUGUGCACAUCUUGACGGUACCUAAUCAGAAAGCCACGGCUAACUACGUGCCAGCAGCCGCGGUAAUACGUAGGUGGCAAGCGUUAUCCGGAAUUAUUGGGCGUAAAGCGCGCGUAGGCGGUUUUUUAAGUCUGAUGUGAAAGCCCACGGCUCAACCGUGGAGGGUCAUUGGAAACUGGAAAACUUGAGUGCAGAAGAGGAAAGUGGAAUUCCAUGUGUAGCGGUGAAAUGCGCAGAGAUAUGGAGGAACACCAGUGGCGAAGGCGACUUUCUGGUCUGUAACUGACGCUGAUGUGCGAAAGCGUGGGGAUCAAACAGGAUUAGAUACCCUGGUAGUCCACGCCGUAAACGAUGAGUGCUAAGUGUUAGGGGGUUUCCGCCCCUUAGUGCUGCAGCUAACGCAUUAAGCACUCCGCCUGGGGAGUACGACCGCAAGGUUGAAACUCAAAGGAAUUGACGGGGACCCGCACAAGCGGUGGAGCAUGUGGUUUAAUUCGAAGCAACGCGAAGAACCUUACCAAAUCUUGACAUCCUUUGACAAAUCUAGAGAUAGAGCCUUCCCCUUCGGGGGACAAAGUGACAGGUGGUGCAUGGUUGUCGUCAGCUCGUGUCGUGAGAUGUUGGGUUAAGUCCCGCAACGAGCGCAACCCUUAAGCUUAGUUGCCAUCAUUAAGUUGGGCACUCUAAGUUGACUGCCGGUGACAAACCGGAGGAAGGUGGGGAUGACGUCAAAUCAUCAUGCCCCUUAUGAUUUGGGCUACACACGUGCUACAAUGGACAAUACAAAGGGCAGCGAAACCGCGAGGUCAAGCAAAUCCCAUAAAGUUGUUCUCAGUUCGGAUUGUAGUCUGCAACUCGACUACAUGAAGCUGGAAUCGCUAGUAAUCGUAGAUCAGCAUGCUACGGUGAAUACGUUCCCGGGUCUUGUACACACCGCCCGUCACACCACGAGAGUUUGUAACACCCGAAGCCGGUGGAGUAACCUUUUAGGAGCUAGCCGUCGAAGGUGGGACAAAUGAUUGGGGUGAAGUCGUAACAAGGUAGCCGUAUCGGAAGGUGCGGCUGGAUCACCUCCUUUCU